rnacentral:pre_miRNA from 1 species
AGGCAGUGUAAUUAGCUGAUUGUCUGGUGCUUGCAAUCACUAACUCCACUGCCAUC